rnacentral:rRNA from 1 species
AGAGUUUGAUCCUGGCUCAGGAUGAACGCUGGCGGCGUGCUUAACACAUGCAAGUCGAACGGGGAUUACACGGAGAUGCGAUUUCGGUCAAAUCAAGUGCAAUCUUAGUGGCGGACGGGUGAGUAACGCGUGGGUAACCUGCCUUGCACUGGGGGAUAACACUUAUAAAUAGGUGCUAAUACCGCAUAAGCGCACGGUCCUGCAUGGGACAGUGUGAAAAACUCCGGUGGUGCAAGAUGGACCCGCGUCUGAUUAGCUGGUUGGCGGGGUAAAGGCCCACCAAGGCGACGAUCAGUAGCCGGCCUGAGAGGGUGGACGGCCACAUUGGGACUGAGACACGGCCCAAACUCCUACGGGAGGCAGCAGUGGGGGAUAUUGGACAAUGGGGGGAACCCUGAUCCAGCGACGCCGCGUGAGUGAAGAAGUAUUUCGGUAUGUAAAGCUCUGUCAGCAGGGAAGAAAGCAAUGACGGUACCUGACCAAGAAGCCCCGGCUAACUACGUGCCAGCAGCCGCGGUAAUACGUAGGGGGCAAGCGUUAUCCGGAAUUACUGGGUGUAAAGGGAGCGUAGACGGCUGUGCAAGUCUGGAGUG